AGCGAACGCUGGCGGCAGGCCUAACACAUGCAAGUCGAACGAACUCUUCGGAGUUAGUGGCGGACGGGUGAGUAACACGUGGGAACGUGCCUUUUGGUUCGGAAUAACUCAGGGAAACUUGUGCUAAUACCGAAUGUGCCCUUCGGGGGAAAGAUUUAUCGCCAUUAGAGCGGCCCGCGUCUGAUUAGCUAGUUGGUGAGGUAACGGCUCACCAAGGCGACGAUCAGUAGCUGGUCUGAGAGGAUGACCAGCCACACUGGGACUGAGACACGGCCCAGACUCCUCGGGGAGGCAGCGGGGGGGAAUCUUGCGAAAGGGGCGAAAGCCGAACACAUCCACGCCGGGUAAAUGAUGAAGUUUUUAGAAUUGAAAAAUUUUUUCACCGGGGCGGAUAAGGAGGGUACCCGGAAAAGAAGCCCGGGCUACCUUCGGC
rnacentral:rRNA from 1 species